rnacentral:rRNA from 1 species
ACUACGGGUGGCUGCAGUGGGGAAUAUUGCACAAUGGGCGCAAGCCUGAUGCAGCCAUGCCGCGUGUGUGAAGAAGGCCUUCGGGUUGUAAAGCACUUUCAGCGGGGAGGAAGGCGUUAAGGUUAAUAACCUUGGCGAUUGACGUUACCCGCAGAGGAAGCACCGGCUAACUCCGUGCCAGCAGCCGCGGUAAUACGGAGGGUGCAAGCGUUAAUCGGAAUUACUGGGCGUAAAGCGCACGCAGGCGGUCUGUCAAGUCGGAUGUGAAAUCCCCGGGCUCAACCUGGGAACUGCAUUCGAAACUGGCAGGCUAGAGUCUUGUAGAGGGGGGUAGAAUUCCAGGUGUAGCGGUGAAAUGCGUAGAGAUCUGGAGGAAUACCGGUGGCGAAGGCGGCCCCCUGGACAAAGACUGACGCUCAGGUGCGAAAGCGUGGGGAGCAAACAGGAUUAGAUACCCUAGUAGUC